GAUUGCGUUUGUUGUCGACCGAUAAAUAAGGGAUCGCGAUAUCGAUAACCGGAGGGCGCGGUUAAGAGGGGAGCGGAGAAGAGAUUAGGGAGACGAAUCUCCCCCAUCGUUGAUUUUUUUUUCCCACCGUCCAUUAUACCUUUAUACCGGUCGGCGACUGCGGUUUUGAAAAUUCAAUUUUUACUUUUUAGCCGGGAAAAUCGUUGACAAUGUGUCGGUUCAGUGGCGCGCACAGAGAGGAGGUUAG